rnacentral:rRNA from 1 species
UCAUCUCCGGGGGUAGAGCACUGUUUCGGCAAGGGGGUCAUCCCGACUUACCAACCCGAUGCAAACUGCGAAUACCGGAGAAUGUUAUCACGGGAGACACACGGCGGGUGCUAACGUCCGUCGUGAAGAGGGAAACAACCCAGACCGCCAGCUAAGGUCCCAAAGUCAUGGUUAAGUGGGAAACGAUGUGGGAAGGCCCAGACAGCCAGGAUGUUGGCUUAGAAGCAGCCAUCAUUUAAAGAAAGCGUAAUAGCUCACUGGUCGAGUCGGCCUGCGCGGAAGAUGUAACGGGGCUAAACCAUGCACCGAAGCUGCGGCAGCGACGCUUAUGCGUUGUUGGGUAGGGGAGCGUUCUGUAAGCCUGUGAAGGUGUGCUGUGAGGCAUGCUGGAGGUAUCAGAAGUGCGAAUGCUGACAUAAGUAACGAUAAAGCGGGUGAAAAGCCCGCUCGCCGGAAGACCAAGGGUUCCUGUCCAACGUUAAUCGGGGCAGGGUGAGUCGACCCCUAAGGCGAGGCCGAAAGGCGUAGUCGAUGGGAAACAGGUUAAUAUUCCUGUACUUGGUGUUACUGCGAAGGGGGGACGGAGAAGGCUAUGUUGGCCGGGCGACGGUUGUCCCGGUUUAAGCGUGUAGGCUGGUUUUCCAGGCAAAUCCGGAAAAUCAAGGCUGAGGCGUGAUGACGAGGCACUACGGUGCUGAAGCAACAAAUGCCCUGCUUCCAGGAAAAGCCUCUAAGCAUCAGGUAACAUCAAAUCGUACCCCAAACCGACACAGGUGGUCAGGUAGAGAAUACCAAGGCGCUUGAGAGAACUCGGGUGAAGGAACUAGGCAAAAUGGUGCCGUAACUUCGGGAGAAGGCACGCUGAUAUGUAGGUGAAGUCCCUCGCGGAUGGAGCUGAAAUCAGUCGAAGAUACCAGCUGGCUGCAACUGUUUAUUAAAAACACAGCACUGUGCAAACACGAAAGUGGACGUAUACGGUGUGACGCCUGCCCGGUGCCGGAAGGUUAAUUGAUGGGGUCAGCGCAAGCGAAGCUCUUGAUCGAAGCCCCGGUAAACGGCGGCCGUAACUAUAACGGUCCUAAGGUAGCGAAAUUCCUUGUCGGGUAAGUUCCGACCUGCACGAAUGGCGUAAUGAUGGCCAGGCUGUCUCCACCCGAGACUCAGUGAAAUUGAACUCGCUGUGAAGAUGCAGUGUACCCGCGGCAAGACGGAAAGACCCCGUGAACCUUUACUAUAGCUUGACACUGAACAUUGAGCCUUGAUGUGUAGGAUAGGUGGGAGGCUUAGAAGUGUGGACGCCAGUCUGCAUGGAGCCGACCUUGAAAUACCACCCUUUAAUGUUUGAUGUUCUAACGUUGACCCGUAAUCCGGGUUGCGGACAGUGUCUGGUGGGUAGUUUGACUGGGGCGGUCUCCUCCUAAAGAGUAACGGAGGAGCACGAAGGUUGGCUAAUCCUGGUCGGACAUCAGGAGGUUAGUGCAAUGGCAUAAGCCAGCUUGACUGCGAGCGUGACGGCGCGAGCAGGUGCGAAAGCAGGUCAUAGUGAUCCGGUGGUUCUGAAUGGAAGGGCCAUCGCUCAACGGAUAAAAGGUACUCCGGGGAUAACAGGCUGAUACCGCCCAAGAGUUCAUAUCGACGGCGGUGUUUGGCACCUCGAUGUCGGCUCAUCACAUCCUGGGGCUGAAGUAGGUCCCAAGGGUAUGGCUGUUCGCCAUUUAAAGUGGUACGCGAGCUGGGUUUAGAACGUCGUGAGACAGUUCGGUCCCUAUCUGCCGUGGGCGCUGGAGAACUGAGGGGGGCUGCUCCUAGUACGAGAGGACCGGAGUGGACGCAUCACUGGUGUUCGGGUUGUCAUGCCAAUGGCACUGCCCGGUAGCUAAAUGCGGAAGAGAUAAGUGCUGAAAGCAUCUAAGCACGAAACUUGCCCCGAGAUGAGUUCUCCCUGAC